rnacentral:rRNA from 1 species
AUGGUGCUUCUCCGCUAUGGUUUCACCUUCCUCAUCAAGCACCCUCCUCCACCCAAUGCCACCACCUAGUAUCUUGAACUGGAUGCCCAUGUCGCCCUAUGGAUCUAUGCCACCCUUUCUGACACCAUGUGCGAUCACGUCAUCGGCGCCACCACUGCCUUUGCCAUCUGGCACAAGAUCAAGGACUUCUUCCUCGCCAGUCGCAUCGCCCGCUUCAUGAUGCUCAACCGCCAAUACCGCCACCUCAAGCAGGGUGACCUCUCGGUCUCUGAGUACGCACGUCGCAUGAAGCUCCUUACCGACGGCCUCGCCGACAUCGACCAUGCCGUCACCGAGGUGGAUCUUACCACACAGUUCCUUCAUGGCCUGGCCAAGCGUCUCGACACCAUUCACGUGGUUCUCGGCGACCAGGCUCUCCGCUUCAACACCGUUCUUUCCCGAGUCGUCUUGGCCGAGGAGUCCCAGGCGCACCGCGUGGCCAAGGAGAGCGCCUCCGCGUUCGCCAUGAAGGGCGAUGGUUCUUCGGGCGGCAGCUCCAACACGGGCGGUCGCGCCCCGAGUGCUCGCUCCUCCGGCCACUCCAACGACCGCACCCAAGGCACCUCCCAUCUCCCGCACCAGGGUGUGGCGACUGUGCCAGCGGUGGCAGUGACCGUGCCCGUGGCGCUCUCCUUGGAUGUAUUCAUCAUAUAA